rnacentral:rRNA from 1 species
AGCAGCCGCCGCGGUAAUACGAAGGGGGCUAGCGUUGCUCGGAAUGACUGGGCGUAAAGGGCGCGUAGGCGGCUGACACAGUCAGAUGUGAAAUUCCUGGGCUCAACCUGGGGACUGCAUUUGAGACGUGUUGGCUUGAGUGGAGAAGAGGGUCGUGGAAUUUCCAGUGUAGAGGUGAAAUUCGUAGAUAUGUGGAGGAAUACCGAUGGCGAAGGCAGCCCCCUGGGCCAAUACUGACGCUGAGGCGCGAAAGCGUGGGGAGCAAACAGGAUUAGAGACCCCAGUAGUCCCUGUCUCUUAUAA